UACGGGGGGGGCAAGCGUUGUUCGGAAUUACUGGGCGUAAAGGGCUCGUAGGCGGCCAACUAAGUCAGACGUGAAAUCCCUCGGCUUAACCGGGGAACUGCGUCUGAUACUGGUUGGCUUGAAUCCGGGAGAGGGAUGUGGAAUUCCCGGUGUAGCGGUGAAAUGCGCAGAUAUCGGGAGGAACACCUAUGGCGAAGGCAGCUCGCUGGGACGUUACUGACGCUGAGACGCGAAAGCGUGGGGAGCAAACAGG
rnacentral:rRNA from 1 species